CCAUGUAAAGUAAUCAGAACAAGCGGACUCCAUUUCCCACAGUGCAGUGCGGUGGGUGGGUGUCAUGUGACGCUUGUGUGCGUGAGAGUCAAGAGCUGCUCGCGAGCGUGUGUGCAGCAGAGUCUGUCGCCUCCACAGCAGGUGUGUGUGUGUGUGUGUGUGUGCGCGCGCGCGGCUUCACUCGAGGACACUCUCAGGAUGUAACGUUGUGUGGAUUAGUCUGUUUGGACGCGCGAGACUGGGGUUCAUAACGCGUGGAAUAAUCUCGCUUUCCAGGACUGACAGAAGACACAGCAGGAACCAGUGCUCGGUGGGUCCACCCUGACUUCGUGUCGCGCUUCCUGAAGAAAGGAAAAGCCCUGAUGUGCUUGUCACCUGAGCUGACGGCCGGGGCUGCGUGAUGGAGGCCGAAUGUCUUCACUUGGUCCCUCUUCAGACACUCAAAGGCCGCUCUGUUUCAGCCUGAUGACGAGCCGAUUGGAUAUAAUCUUGAGCAGCGGACUCAGGAGAUGGGGAGGAAUAGGGAAACUCUACAGUAGGCUUUGCAGGGAAGGAUCGUCUUUCUCCAGAAGUAGGAAACGAGCGUCGGAGGGUUCCUGCUGCCAGUCGGCUCUCUCCUCCUGUUACGACACGGGACCAAAUUCAAACCAUGUGUCCUCGCACCCGGUUAGCUGCUUUUGCCCACCUCUAGCAUUAGCAGUCUGGACGGAUCCAUUUCACUGCCCCUCUCCCGUGUAGCGUUCUCAUUCUCCCAGCCCCAAAUGAGCCUCUCCGUGGGACUCCUGCCUUAAUAGGCUGGAACUUUCCCAUGUCCGGUCUCCAAAGGUGGCUGUUAUCCUCCGAGGGCCCCUGUGCGAGUUUCAAGCUCGGGCUCAUGUUAUGAGCCGGGCGAGGUGGACUCCGGGAUGUCAGAUGUGAUGCUUCACACAGAUUUUCACGGUAGUGUCUGAGCAGACCUGUGGAUGAGUGUGACAGCUGGUUCCUCCACAUCAUGGAUUGGUCAGAGAUAUCUGGAGAUGCUCGUUUCAUAAGUGGAUUUCAGUUGUGUGGACUACAUCACAGCAUCUGCUGUUUCGGUUUCCCGUGCUUUGACUGCAGAGACUCGAUUACUCGGACUGUUUUAUUCUUUACGUCAUGUGUUUUCAGCUGAUUUGUCAGUACACUGUUCCAGUCAUGCUAAAAUAUACAAUACACAUACAGUAGUUAUGAUGUUGAAACUCUUGUUCACUGCACCCGUAGAUGCCCUACUAACUAAAGUUUAUAUGCCAGGGACUAGAUCUUCUAGCGAUCUAAUAAAUAUUGUUUGAAUGUAAAUUGUGCUAAUAUUUCAAUAAUAUAGCAAUGUUUUAUAAAGAAAUAAGGCACUUUGUUGUAAAUGACUACAGUAUAUCACAAUCUAACACAUCCUCUUGUACAGUAUUGCUUCCUUUUAAUAUAUAAAUAUUUUUUUUACAUACACGUGUGUGUAAUUAUGAUAUUAUUUUUUAAAAUUGUUCAGAAUUUUUGCUUAAUAAAAAAUAAAUGGUCGAUUGAAGCAAA